UUAAGUUAUUAAGGGCGCACGGUGGAUGCCUUGGCACUAGAAGCCGAUGAAGGACGUUACUAACGACGAUAUGCUUUGGGGAGCUGUAAGUAAGCUUUGAUCCAGAGAUUUCCGAAUGGGGAAACCCAGCAUGAGUUAUGUCAUGUUAUCGAUAUGUGAAUACAUAGCAUAUCAGAAGGCACACCCGGAGAACUGAAACAUCUUAGUACCGGAGGAAGAGAAAGAAAAUUCGAUUCCCUUAGUAGCGGCGAGCGAAACGGGAAGAGCCCAAACCAACAAGCUUGCUUGUUGGGGUUGUAGGACACUCUAUACGGAGUUACAAAGGACGACAUUAGACGAAUCAUCUGGAAAGAUGAAUCAAAGAAGGUAAUAAUCCUGUAGUCGAAAAUGUUGUCUCUCUUGAGUGGAUCCUGAGUACGACGGAGCACGUGAAAUUCCGUCGGAAUCUGGGAGGACCAUCUCCUAAGGCUAAAUACUCUCUAGUGACCGAUAGUGAACCAGUACCGUGAGGGAAAGGUGAAAAGCACCCCGGAAGGGGAGUGAAAUAGAACCUGAAACCGUGUGCUUACAAGUAGUCAGAGCCCGUUAAUGGGUGAUGGCGUGCCUUUUGUAGAAUGAACCGGCGAGUUACGAUUUGAUGCAAGGUUAAGCAGUAAAUGUGGAGCCGUAGCGAAAGCGAGUCUGAAUAGGGCGUUUAGUAUUUGGUCGUAGACCCGAAACCAGGUGAUCUACCCUUGGUCAGGUUGAAGUUCAGGUAACACUGAAUGGAGGACCGAACCGACUUACGUUGAAAAGUGAGCGGAUGAACUGAGGGUAGCGGAGAAAUUCCAAUCGAACCUGGAGAUAGCUGGUUCUCUCCGAAAUAGCUUUAGGGCUAGCCUCAAGUGAUGAUUAUUGGAGGUAGAGCACUGUUUGGACGAGGGGCCCCUCUCGGGUUACCGAAUUCAGACAAACUCCGAAUGCCAAUUAAUUUAACUUGGGAGUCAGAACAUGGGUGAUAAGGUCCGUGUUCGAAAGGGAAACAGCCCAGACCACCAGCUAAGGUCCCAAAAUAUAUGUUAAGUGGAAAAGGAUGUGGCGUUGCCCAGACAACUAGGAUGUUGGCUUAGAAGCAGCCAUCAUUUAAAGAGUGCGUAAUAGCUCACUAGUCGAGUGACACUGCGCCGAAAAUGUACCGGGGCUAAACAUAUUACCGAAGCUGUGGAUUGUCCUUUGGACAAUGGUAGGAGAGCGUUCUAAGGGCGUUGAAGCAUGAUCGUAAGGACAUGUGGAGCGCUUAGAAGUGAGAAUGCCGGUGUGAGUAGCGAAAGACGGGUGAGAAUCCCGUCCACCGAUUGACUAAGGUUUCCAGAGGAAGGCUCGUCCGCUCUGGGUUAGUCGGGUCCUAAGCUGAGGCCGACAGGCGUAGGCGAUGGAUAACAGGUUGAUAUUCCUGUACCACCUAUAAUCGUUUUAAUCGAUGGGGGGACGCAGUAGGAUAGGCGAAGCGUGCGAUUGGAUUGCACGUCUAAGCAGUAAGGCUGAGUAUUAGGCAAAUCCGGUACUCGUUAAGGCUGAGCUGUGAUGGGGAGAAGACAUUGUGUCUUCGAGUCGUUGAUUUCACACUGCCGAGAAAAGCCUCUAGAUAGAAAAUAGGUGCCCGUACCGCAAACCGACACAGGUAGUCAAGAUGAGAAUUCUAAGGUGAGCGAGCGAACUCUCGUUAAGGAACUCGGCAAAAUGACCCCGUAACUUCGGGAGAAGGGGUGCUCUUUAGGGUUAACGCCCAGAAGAGCCGCAGUGAAUAGGCCCAAGCGACUGUUUAUCAAAAACACAGGUCUCUGCUAAACCGUAAGGUGAUGUAUAGGGGCUGACGCCUGCCCGGUGCUGGAAGGUUAAGAGGAGUGGUUAGCUUCUGCGAAGCUACGAAUCGAAGCCCCAGUAAACGGCGGCCGUAACUAUAACGGUCCUAAGGUAGCGAAAUUCCUUGUCGGGUAAGUUCCGACCCGCACGAAAGGCGUAACGAUUUGGGCACUGUCUCAACGAGAGACUCGGUGAAAUCAUAGUACCUGUGAAGAUGCAGGUUACCCGCGACAGGACGGAAAGACCCCGUGGAGCUUUACUGUAGCCUGAUAUUGAAAUUCGGCACAGCUUGUACAGGAUAGGUAGGAGCCUUUGAAACGUGAGCGCUAGCUUACGUGGAGGCGCUGGUGGGAUACUACCCUAGCUGUGUUGGCUUUCUAACCCGCACCACUUAUCGUGGUGGGAGACAGUGUCAGGCGGGCAGUUUGACUGGGGCGGUCGCCUCCUAAAAGGUAACGGAGGCGCUCAAAGGUUCCCUCAGAAUGGUUGGAAAUCAUUCAUAGAGUGUAAAGGCAUAAGGGAGCUUGACUGCGAGACCUACAAGUCGAGCAGGGUCGAAAGACGGACUUAGUGAUCCGGUGGUUCCGCAUGGAAGGGCCAUCGCUCAACGGAUAAAAGCUACCCCGGGGAUAACAGGCUUAUCUCCCCCAAGAGUUCACAUCGACGGGGAGGUUUGGCACCUCGAUGUCGGCUCAUCGCAUCCUGGGGCUGUAGUCGGUCCCAAGGGUUGGGCUGUUCGCCCAUUAAAGCGGUACGCGAGCUGGGUUCAGAACGUCGUGAGACAGUUCGGUCCCUAUCCGUCGUGGGCGUAGGAAAUUUGAGAGGAGCUGUCCUUAGUACGAGAGGACCGGGAUGGACAUACCUCUGGUGUACCAGUUGUCGUGCCAACGGCAUAGCUGGGUAGCUAUGUGUGGACGGGAUAAGUGCUGAAAGCAUCUAAGCAUGAAGCCCCCCUCAAGAUGAGAUUUCCCACUUCGGUUAUAAGAUCCCUCAAAGAUGAUGAGGUUAAUAGGUUCGAGGUGGAAGCAUGGUGACAUGUGGAGCUGACGAAUACUAAUCGAUCGAAGACUUAAUCAA
rnacentral:rRNA from 1 species